GACGAACGCUGGCGGCGUGCCUAAUACAUGCAAGUCGAGCGAACCGACGAGGUGCUUGCACCUUUGACGUUAGCGGCGAACGGGUGAGUAACACGUAAGGAAUCUACCUAUAAGUGGGGGAUAACAUCCGGAAACGGGUGCUAAUACCGCAUGUUGUAGAGUUUCCACAUGGAAAUCCUACUAAAGGUGGCCUCUACUUGUAAGCUAUCGCUUUACGAUGGGUCUGCGUCUGAUUAGCUAGGUUGGGGGGGUAACGCCUACCAAGGCGACGAUCAGUAGCCGGUCUGAGAGGAUGAACGGCCACAUUGGAACUGAGACACGGUCCAG
rnacentral:rRNA from 1 species